rnacentral:rRNA from 1 species
GAUGAACGCUAGCGGCAGGCUUAAUACAUGCAAGUCGAGGGGCAGCAUGAAUGUAGCAAUACAUUUGAUGGCGACCGGCAGACGGGUGCGGAACACGUACACAACCUUCCUAUAAGUGGGGAAUAGCCCAGAGAAAUUUGGAUUAAUACCCCGUAACAUAAUGAUGUGGCAUCACAUUAUUAUUAUAGCUUCGGCGCUUAUUGAUGGGUGUGCGGCUGAUUAGAUAGUUGGCGGGGUAACGGCCCACCAAGUCUACGAUCAGUAGCUGAUGUGAGAGCAGGAUCAGCCACACGGGCACUGAGACACGGGCCCGACUCCUACGGGAGGCAGAAGUAAGGAAUAUUGGUCAAUGGACGCAAGUCUGAACCAGCCAUGCCGCGUGAAGGAUUAAGGUCCUCUGGAUUGUAAACUUCUUUUAUCUGGGACGAAAAAAGGCUAUUCUUAGUCACUUGACGGUACCAGAUGAAUAAGCACCGGCUAACUCCGUGCCAGCCGCCGCGGUAAUAC